rnacentral:rRNA from 1 species
UACGAAGGGGGCUAGCGUUGCUCGGAAUCACUGGGCGUAAAGCGCACGUAGGCGGAUUGUUAAGUCAGGGGUGAAAUCCUGGAGCUCAACUCCAGAACUGCCUUUGAUACUGGCGAUCUCGAGUCCGGGAGAGGUGAGUGGAACUGCGAGUGUAGAGGUGAAAUUCGUAGAUAUUCGCAAGAACACCAGUGGCGAAGGCGGCUAACUGGCCAGGAACUGACGCUGAGGUGCGAAAGCGUGGGGAGCAAACAGG